rnacentral:rRNA from 1 species
GACGAACGCUGGCGGCAGGCUAAACACAUGCAAGUCGAACGAGUGGCGGACGGGUGAGUAAUGUCUGGGAAACUGCCUGCUGGAGGGGGUUAACUACUGGAACCGGUAGCUAAUACCGCAUACCAUCGGAUUUGCCCAGAUGGGAUUAGCUAGUAGGUGGGGUAAAGGCUCACCUAGGCGACGAUCCCUAGCUGGUCUGAGAGGAUGACCGGGCACACUGGAACUUAGACACGGUCCAGACUCCUACGGGAGGCAGCAGUGGGGAAUAUUGCACAAUGGGCGCAAGCCUGAGGCAGCCAUGCCGCGUGUAUGAAGAAGGCCUUCGGGUUGUAAAGUACUUUCAGCGGGGAGGCGUUACCCGCAGAAGAAGCACCGGCUAACUCCGUGCCAGCAGCCGCGGUAAUUC